rnacentral:rRNA from 1 species
AAUGAACGCUGGCGGCGUGCCUAACACAUGCAAGUCGAACGAGAAAGGUAGCAAUACUGAGUACAGUGGCGCACGGGUGAGUAAUGCAUGGGAAUCUGCCUUUUAGUGGAGAAUACCUUGGAGAAAUCUAGGUUAAUACUGCAUAAUCCGGCAACGGCAAAGGGGGCCUCGUGCUCCCGCUAAAAGAUGAGCCCAUGUUCUAUUAGUUAGUUGGUGGGGUAAAAGCCUACCAAGACGAAGAUGGAUAGCCGACCUGAGAGGGUGAUCGGCCACACUGGAACUGAGACACGGUCCAGACUCCUACGGGAGGCAGCAGUGGGGAAUAUUGCACAAUGGGCGAAAGCCUGAUGCAGCGACGCCGCGUGGAGGAUGAAGGUUUUCGGAUUGUAAACUCCUGUUAAGUGGGAAGAAAGACUCUGACCUAAUACGUCAGGGGGAUGACGGUACCACUAGAGAAAGCACCGGCAAACUUCGUGCCAGCAGCCGCGGUAAUACGAAGGGUGCUAGCGUUAUUCGGAAUCACUGGGCGUAAAGAGCGUGUAGGCGGUUUGUUAAGUCAACUGUUAAAGCACCCAGCUUAACUGGGUAAAGGCAGGUGAAACUGGCAGGCUAGAGUGCAAGAGAGAGAAGUGGAAUUGUCGGAGUAGCGGUAAAAUGCGUAGAUCUCGACAGGAACACCGGUUGCGAAGGCGGCUUCUUGGCUUGUAACUGACGCUAAAGCGCGAAAGCGUGGGGAGCAAACAGGAUUAGAUACCCUGGUAGUCCACGCCGUAAACGAUGAUCACUAGAUGUGGGAUUGGCAUAGCCGAUUCUGUGUCGUAGCUAACGCGUUAAGUGAUCCGCCUGGGAAUUACGGUCGCAAGAUUAAAACUCAAAGGAAUUGACGGGGGUCCGCACAAGCGGUGGAACAUGUGGUUUAAUUCGACACUACGCGAGGAACCUUACCUGGGUUUGACAUGUAACUGCCACUGGUAGAAAUAUUGGGUUCUGUAGCAAUACAGACGGUUACACAGGUGCUGCAUGGCUGUCGUCAGCUCGUGUCGUGAGACGUCGGGUUAAGUCCUUGAACGAGCGCAACCCUUGCCGUUAGUUGCUUAUCGAAAGAUGGCUCUCUAGCGGGACUGCCUUGGAAACAAGGAGGAAGGUGGGGAUGACGUCAAGUCCUCAUGGCCCUUAUACCCAGGGCUACACACGUGUUACAAUGGCGAGGGACAGAGGGGUGCAAAGCUGCGAAGCAGAGCAAAUCCCUGAAAACUCGUCUAAGUUCGGAUUGUAGUCUGCAACUCGACUACAUGAAGUUGAAAUCGCUAGUAAUCGCAUAUCAGAACGAUGCGGUGAAUACGUUCUCGGACCUUGUACACACCGCCCGUCACACCACGAAAGUUGUUCGCACCCGAAAUCAUCUUAGCUAACCGUCAAGGAGGCGGGUGAUGAAGGUGAGGAUAGUGAUUGGGGUG